rnacentral:rRNA from 1 species
GACGAACGCUGGCGGCGUGCUUAACACAUGCAAGUCGAACGAUGAAGCUAGAGCUUGCUCUGGUGAAUUAGUGGCGAACGGGUGAGUAACACGUGAGUAACCUGCCCCGAACUCUGGGAUACCUGCUGGAAACGGUGGCUAAUACUGGAUACGACCUACGAAGGCAUCUUCUGUAGGUGGAAAGAAUUUCGGUUCGGGAUGGACUCGCGGCCUAUCAGCUUGUUGGUGAGGUAAUGGCUCACCAAGGGGACGACGGGUAGCCGUCCUGAGAGGGUGACCGGCCACACUGGGACUGAGACACGGCGCAGAGUCCGACGGGAGGCAGCAGUGGUGAAUAUUGCACGACGGGCGAGAGCCUGAUGCAGGAACGCCUCGUGAGGAAUGUCGGCCUUCGGAUUGUAAACCUCUUUUAGUAGGGAAGAAGCGAAAGUGACGGUACCUGCAGAAAAAGCACCGGCUAACUACGUGCCAGCCGCCGCGGUAA